AUACGUUUCUCGUCUUUUUGGCUAAGAUCAAGUAUAGUAUCCAUUUUUUUCAGUUUAAUAUUUGAUACAUGUGCUAUCGGCCCACGCGAUAUUAACUCAUUUUUUAAGGGAGAAUGCCUAUUAAGGUAGCUUGCUCCCUCGGCCUUCGCGCGUCGUCUAGGCGUUGCAUUACAACCCAGGCCCGAUGCAUCCUAA
rnacentral:snRNA from 1 species